CGUCUGUGUAUAUUUAUUUGUGUGUGUGUGUGUGUGGUGUAAUUUAAACAAAAAAGAAAAGAGAAAAGAAAAGUUAAUGGGUGGGACCAACAAGCAUUUAAAUGGUCAUGAGACCAUCUUUGCUUUCUUUUUUUUUCUCAUUCCCGCAAGGUCAUCUCUCUCGUCCAGAAACUCCUUUUUUUUUUUUUUUCUUUUUUGGUUCCAAUCUUCAAGCUUUGAUUCCAUCUUCAUUACUUGCCGGAUUUAGGUGCCGUUUGAGGCAAAAUGACGAGUGUGACGAGCUCUACGCGUUGAUGCAAGCAAUUUCCAGUUUUGAGCCUUCUUUGGAACUCGAAAAUUUAGACCCAUUUCUAGGGUUUUGGUGCAAUCUUGAGGUCUUGGAAAAGAACCGGUGGACGACAACCCACCUCAAGCUUGAGCGAUACUAGAAGCUCACUUUUGUGUCUUUUGUAUAUCUCCCAUUAUUUUUGCAAAGCACUAAAAGUGUGAAGGUGUAUAUGUAUAUUUUGCAAAAACUUUGUCAUGUAAUGUAAUUAAGGUAUUUGAUGAUA